rnacentral:lncRNA from 1 species
GCUAUGCUACUGUUAUAUAGUGAGAGUAAAUAAUUUCAAUACAUGAAUUUCAUAUAUGCAAUGCAAACACAACUAUACAUUUAAUUUAUCAAUGCAAAUUGAUUAAGCUAUAUGAGAGUUAAUUUUAUUAGUUGUUGCUUAUUUACAUGCAAAGGCUAACUAUGACAUAAACCUCAUGAUGCAAUUUAUGGUUAUCAAAAUAUAUUUACACAAAUACUUUAGUGAUACCCAAACCUAUAAAAGAUAGAUGAAGAACCUAGAGUUUAUGAUAAUCAAGAUUAGAAAAGAAUCUCUAAGUUGUUUGGGACAAAAUAGAGAAAGAAAAACUAAUCUAAAUGAGUUGAAGACAAGGACAUGUUUGAUAAAAUCAUAACAUGUGAUAGAUGCAAAGGAAACCUGGAUUAGAAAUAAGAAACUUGGAUUAGAAAUCAAUACAAAAUGCUAGGAUUGAAUGGGAGUUGAAACGGUGAAGUUUUGGCUGUUAACAGAUACAAACUUCUAUGGAUCAUGGGAUACUGUAGAUGAAGAUGAAAAGGUGCACAAAGGGGUUCAGAAUGUAGAGUUGGAUGGAUUAUUGUCAAACAAUGUAUCAAAAGAUAGGGACUUCGGAAUACAGCUAAUCAAUGUUUCAACACAGAUAGCAUGUAACAGUGUUAACAGAUAGCAACUUCGGUUGAGAAUGCACUAGUGUAGAUGAUACAGAACUUGUGCAAGAAGUGCACUGAUGUCUAGAACAUUAUGUAGUAGAUAAUCUGCAGAAGGUUUGAGACUAAACAGAUCUAUGGAAUAUUAUACAAGAAUUUCGAAACAUGGCUAAUCCAGAAGUAGGAUGCUGUGAAUAGCAACUUCAGAUAAAGAUUAACUACUGAAUAUAAUUCAUAUGGGGCAUGCAAACUGUCUAAUCUGAAGAACACGACGUGAUCUAAUCAUAGCAAAAAGAAUCGGCUAAAUAGGACAUACGGUUGAUAAUCUACAAUCUACGGAAGUAGGCUAAUCAAAACAGACUGCAGCUCGAAAAACAGAACAAGAAGCUCACCGGAGAAGAUGAAGUUCGCCGGAGUUGAUGGGAUUCGGCAAAAAAGAGAUUUCCGAAGGCGAGGCUGUGGUGGAUGGUGUUCUAGGGUUCGAGAGGGAUCUACUGGUGGUGAUGGCUCGAGCUAAUUUGGGGUGAGGUGGUAGGAAUUGCUCGCCGUAGUUCACAUGGAAACGGUGACGAAAACUCGAAAUUGGAUGCGAGAUUGACAACGGCUUCGAGCUAGGCUUCGAGGGAUAAGUCGGGGAUCUCAAGGGCAUCCGGUUGGAGGCUUUUAUAGGACGCGGGGCGCUCGGGAUAAGGCCGGCGGCGGGUGAGAUUUGAACGGGAUCAAUUUCGCUUAAAAUUCAGACGAGAUAGAGUCCGGGAUGGUUUGAUUCUUGUUGGGAUGGAUUCCUUGCCGUGUGGAUCACGAAUUGGCAAAGAAAUCACGGAGAAAAACGGUUCGGAGGGUAGAAAUGCGAGGUGGAGGCGGCCAUGGACGCCGGUUCGUCCCCGAGCUUGAGCUCAGGGUCGGGCUAGGGCAGAAGGGGCGGGGCAGGAGAGGCGCGGGCUACGGAGGCGAGCGGCAGAGGAGGGCGGGGCUUAGCGGCGGGGCUGCCGGGCGAGCGGAAGCAGCCGCCGGAGCUGGCCAUGGCGCUGCACAGGCCGUGCGUGGGGAAGAAGAAAGAAAGGAGAAAAGAAAAAGGAGAAAAGAAAAAGAGAAAAGAAAGAGAAAAGAAAUGGGCCGUUGGAUGAGAGAUGGAAGGCUGAGAUUAGAAAAUACCUCUUCGGUACACUUAAGUGGAGACGGGUUUCAGUAGAAUACGCCUCCUCGCAGAGAAAACGUAAUCCGUGGAAGAAAUAGAAAAUGAAAUAAAGAAAAUAGCUUUUCUGGGUCUGUAGAUCGCCAAAAAUUCACAUAAGGCAAAUAAAAUACCAAACGGAUUCGGAAAAAUUCCAGAAAUUUUUAGGAAUGCUAAUUAACUGUUUAGAACGCAAGAAAAGUAAUUUUCUCAUGGAAUAAAAUAUUUCAAUGGGUUUUAUAGCACAUGAACCUGAAAUAAAUUCCAAAUAAAUCCAGAAAAAUAUAUCUACGUUCAAAUAAAUUGCCAAAUGGGUAUGUAACCCACUAAAACUUAGGUGUACCAAAUUGAAUGUUCUCCGGCUUUAUAAUUUGGAAAGUCACAUUAUUCCUUCUCAUUAACAAAUAGGCAUGUGUUGAAAAAAAAUCAUAUAAUUGAUUUUAACGCCAAACCAAGAACACGCAGAGUUUUGAAAAUGUUUUCCCAACUAUAGGAUUAGAAAAGUCAUGUUAUUCCCACUCUUGAAUAAAUGUCGGA